GCAUAACGCGAAGAACCUUACCAGGCCUUGACAUGCAGAGAACUUUCCAGAGAUGGAUUGGUGCCUUCGGGAACUCUGACACAGGUGCUGCAUGGCUGUCGUCAGCUCGUGUCGUGAGAUGUUGGGUUAAGUCCCGUAACGAGCGCAACCCUUGUCCUUAGUUACCAGCACGUUAUGGUGGGCACUCUAAGGAGACUGCCGGUGACAAACCGGAGGAAGGUGGAGAUGACGUCAAGUCAUCAUGGCCCUUACGGCCUGGGCUACACACGUGCUACAAUGGUCGGUACAGAGGGUUGCCAAGCCGCGAGGUGGAGCUAAUCUCACAAAACCGAUCGUAGUCCGGAUCGCAGUCUGCAACUCGACUGCGUGAAGUCGGAAUCGCUAGUAAUCGCGAAUCAGAAUGUCGCGGUGAAUACGUUCCCGGGUCUUGUACACACCG
rnacentral:rRNA from 1 species